UACGAAGGGUGCAAGCGUUAAUCGGAAUUACUGGGCGUAAAGCGUGCGUAGGUGGUUCGUUAAGUCUGAUGUGAAAGCCCUGGGCUCAACCUGGGAAUGGCAUUGGAAACUGGCGACCUAGAGUGCGGUAGAGGGUAGUGGAAUUCCCGGUGUAGCAGUGAAAUGCGUAGAGAUCGGGAGGAACAUCCGUGGCGAAGGCGACUACCUGGACCAGCACUGACACUGAGGCACGAAAGCGUGGGGAGCAAACAGG
rnacentral:rRNA from 1 species